UACGUAGGGCGCAAGCGUUGUCCGGAAUUAUUGGGCGUAAAGAGCUUGUAGGUGGCUUGUCGCGUCUGCCGUGAAAACCCGAGGCUCAACCUCGGGCGUGCGGUGUGUACGGGCAGGCUAGAGUGUGGUAGGGGAGACUGGAACUCCUGGUGUAGCGGUGAAAUGCGCAGAUAUCAGGAAGAACACCGAUGGCGAAGGCAGGUCUCUGGGCCAUUACUGACACUGAGAAGCGAAAGCAUGGGUAGCGAACAGGAUUAGAUA
rnacentral:rRNA from 1 species